rnacentral:rRNA from 1 species
ACAAGCGGUGGAGCAUGUGGUUAAUUCGAAGCAACGCGAAGAACCUUACCAGGCCUUGACAUGCAGAGAACUUUCCAGAGAUGGAUUGGUGCCUUCGGGAACUCUGACACAGGUGCUGCAUGGCUGUCGUCAGCUCGUGUCGUGAGAUCGUUGGGUUAAGUCCCGUAACGAGCGCAACCCUUGUCCUUAGUUACCAGCACGUUAUGGUGGGCACUCUAAGGAGACUGCCGGUGACAAACCGGAGGAAGUGGGGAUGACGUCAAGUCAUCAUGGCCCUUACGGCCUGGGCUACACACGUGCUACAAUGGUCGGUACAAAGGGUUGCCAAGCCGCGAGGUGGAGCUAAUCCCAUAAAACCGAUCGUAGUCCGGAUCGCAGUCUGCAACUCGACUGCGUGAAGUCGGAAUCGCUAGUAAUCGUGAAUCAGAAUGUCACGGUGAAUACGUUCCCGGGCCUU